rnacentral:rRNA from 1 species
GGGAGACUCGGGCUUACACAUGCAAGUCGAGCGGAGAGAGGUAGCUUGCUACCGAUCUUAGCGGCGGACGGGUGAGUAAUGCUUAGGAAUCUGCCUAUUAGUGGGGGACAACAUUUCGAAAGGAAUGCUAAUACCGCAUACGUCCUACGGGAGAAAGCAGGGGAUCUUCGGACCUUGCGCUAAUAGAUGAGCCUAAGUCGGAUUAGCUAGUUGGUGGGGUAAAGGCCUACCAAGGCGACGAUCUGUAGCGGGUCUGAGAGGAUGAUCCGCCACACUGGGACUGAGACACGGCCCAGACUCCUACGGGAGGCAGCAGUGGGGAAUAUUGGACAAUGGGCGCAAGCCUGAUCCAGCCAUGCCGCGUGUGUGAAGAAGGCCUUAUGGUUGUAAAGCACUUUAAGCGAGGAGGAGGCUACUUUAGUUAAUACCUAGAGAUAGUGGACGUUACUCGCAGAAUAAGCACCGGCUAACUCUGUGCCAGCAGCGGCGGUAAUAAAG